AUGGCAGCUCCGAGAGCACUCGUCCUCUGCGUCCUGCUGGCGAUCGCCGUCGCCCACGCCGAGGCGGCGUCAGUCGUCGUCGGUCUGGCCAAGUGCGCCGACUGCACCAGGAAGAACAUGAAGGCCGGGGAAGCCUUCAAGGCUGUGCAGGUGGUGAUCAAGUGCAAGAACAGCGCCGGCGAGUACGAGAGCAAGGCGGUGGGCGGCCUCGAUGGCACCGGCGCCUUCAGCGUGCCCCUCGUCGCCGACCUUCAUGGCGCCGACUGUGUCGCGCAGCUCCACAGCGCCGCCUCCAACGCGCCCUGCCCCGGCCAGGAGCCGUCCAAGAUUGUGCCGCUGUCCGAGGGCACCACCUUCGGCUUCGUCGCUGGCGAGAACACCGCCACGCCGUCCGCGGCAUCGCUGGAGUGUGCGUCCAUGACCCUGUGCGGGCCGAUCAAGAAGCACAUCAUCGAGCACUUCCACCACAAGAAGCCCGUGCCGCCCAAGCCGGAGCUCAAGCCCCAGCCCCACCCGGACUACGGCCCCAUGCCUAAGCCGGAGCCGAAGCCGCAGCCCCACCCAGACUACCACCCCGUCCCUCCCACGCCCACCUACGGUAGCGGUGGCGGCGGUGGUAGAUACCACGGGCACCACUGA
rnacentral:rRNA from 1 species